rnacentral:rRNA from 1 species
UGGUGGAGUGAUUUGUCUGGUUAAUUCCGUUAACGAACGAGACCCCUGCCUGCUGAACAGCAUGCCGAGUGAAUUUUCACUGGGUGAUGCUUCUUAGAGGGACGUGCAUUCUGUUAGAUGCAGGAAGAUAGGGGCAAUAACA